GACGAACGCUGGCGGCGUGCUUAACACAGGCAAGUCGAACGGAAAGGCUCCAGCUUGCUGGAGUACUCGAGUGGCGAACGGGUGAGUAACACGUGGGUAAUCUGCCCUGCACUCUGGGAUAAGCCUGGGAAACUGGGUCUAAUACUGGAUAUGACCUUUCUCCUUAUGGGGUUUGGUGGAAAGUUUUUCGGUGUAGGAUGAGCCCGCGGCCUAUCAGCUUGUUGGUGGGGUGAUGGCCUACCAAGGCGACGACGGGUAGCCGGCCUGAGAGGGUGAUCGGCCACAUUGGGACUGAGAUACGGCCCAGACUCCUACGGGAGGCAGCAGUGGGGAAUAUUGCACAAUGGGCGGAAGCCUGAUGCAGCGACGCCGCGUGAGGGAUGACGGCCUUCGGGUUGUAAACCUCUUUCAGCAGGGACGAAGCGUAAGUGACGGUACCUGCAGAAGAAGCACCGGCUAACUAUGUG
rnacentral:rRNA from 1 species